rnacentral:lncRNA from 1 species
GACUGGUGGCUGGAUGGGUGGAUGGAUGAGAGGAUGAAGGACAGAGGGUGAUAAGCGGUGGGUGUGGGCCUGGUGGAGGGCUGCUGCAUGGCCAGGUGGAGGACGUCUGUAGCGGGGUUGACAAGAUGCCUGUGGACACCUCUAAGCCGAGGGAGCUGCGUCCUCGGCUGUCGCCGGGAGCUCUGCUCAUGUGCCCUUGCUCCCUCUCAGCUCCGGCCCCCUGGGCCCAACACGCAGCAGUCGGGGGCCUCUACCUUCCCCUCUGAGCGGCCCGCCAGCCCCUGCUCUGGGAGGAAGGGUAGUGACAGCUCCUGCGGGAAUGUCACAGCAGUGGUGUCACUGGUGUCCUUUGCUGGCCACCUGGGAAGGCUGGGGCGGCUGGCUGGCCUUCUUUGCCCUAAGAGAAGAGAACCUCCUCUCCAGACCCUCCUGUUUGCCCCCUUCUCCCCCGUCUGGUCUCUUCCCCUGAUUCAAGCCCAGCCCCCAGCUCAUGCCGUGGGCUGUGGUCCGCUCAGGCGCUGGCAGUGUGGACGCCGCUCUGCUCGGCUCCUCCCUCCUUCCUCCUCCUCGCCCCCACCCCAGCACUGACCGCAGGCAUCCCCCCACCAGCUCUUAGGAAAGUGGUAUAUAAUCUGCUGGGCUGGGACCAUCCCCAUCCCCCGGGAGAAGCGCCAGGAGCCCCUGCCUCCCUUCCACUUUGUGGUGAGCCACAACGGGCAGCUGCAGUUCAGGAUGCACAUACGGUGAGUGGCCUCCCCUCCCCUCCCGAAGCCACCCCUUGCUAACUGGCCACUGGACUCAGGCUUCACCCCUGCCUGCGGCCUAGAGGUGGGCACAGCCCCGUGGGGUUGGUUUCAACUUCCGUCCUUAAUGUGGUGGUCACCAAGAGGUGCUGCCGUGCUGGGAGGGUGUGGUGCAGGUGUGCGGAGGCCAGUCUCCUCAGACCUGGCAAAAGCCCAGCCCCGCAGGUGCCGGGGAGGCGGGGCUUAAGGCCUCCAGAAAGCUAGGAAGGGACCGCUGGAACCGACUUGGGGCUAGAUGCUGCUGAGGCAGACAGGGAACUAGGAGGGUCUUCCCUGUAGGAGCCACGGCCAGCCCCAUCCUCUCCCCCACUGCAGCCGCUGCAGUGGGAAGGACAGGAGAGGCUAUGUCACACCCUGAUGGCUCAGGGCCUGCUCAGGGUCCUGCUGAACCGCGUCCACAAGCCGAGCUCCCAUCUAGCAGGCGCCCUUGGUGCAAUUCUGAAAGUCCCCCACUGAGGGCUCCGGGGCAGGCAAGCUGGCCGUUGACCACCCAUCACGUGUUGUCACAUCCCACGAAUAAACACUCAGGGUCACUCCAGGUGAACUGGCUGCCAGAAAUAACCACACAGAGACGGAGAAACAUCUUUUUCUUUGGGUCGUGUGACGGCUCCUCCAACCUUAGGAGUCUGUGGAAAGAGAGAGUGACCCCUUUUAUUGGGGAGAAGCCAUUCAAAUGAGGCAAGGGGUCAGGGGUCAGGGGGUUGAGUCCAGCUUCCUGAUGUCUGCUGUCAGCGGUUGACUGACACCUGGGGAGGCCACGCCCAUCUCAUGAGCUGUGUGGGGAUCAAGGCGGGGCCAGUGAAAAGACAGACUGAGGCCCACCCAAACAGAGGGACCACGUGGGGUCUGCCCGCCCUGUGCGCUCAGUGCCCACGGUUCACCCCCAGCCCAGGGCAGGCUCCCCACACCUGCACUCUCGCAUCGCUCAGGGCUGAGGGGCACUCGGUUCCUGUGUGGCAGCUCCCGACAUCGUGUGGUGGUGGUGCACGCUGUCCGGGGCUGUGGAGGCACAACCCUCAGAGAGCUGGUCCCCCGCCCCGCGCUGCAGCCUGAGUCCUGGGGGAGGAGGGCUUGCACACAACCUGUGUAGGGGUGUGCAAGGGGCGUCCGGGGAGGCUGUGGGAUCCACGUGUCCCCAAAGAUGGUGGCAGCAGGAUGGGAGCAGAGGUGAGCUGGGGCUAGAGCGACUGAAAUGAUACUUGGGUUUCAGCAAAGAUAGGUCAGAGCCCUGGGCCAGGUCUUGGUGCCUCAGGGUGGGACUGAAAGAGACAGGCUGCAGCCACUUCCUGGGCCCGUGGAGCAGGACAGACAUCCAGAGAAUGAGUGGGGGUCUUUGGUGGCAAAGCCCCAGCUUGCCCCCGCCCUGGGCCUCUCCCUCACAGCCGCCUCUGUCUUCCAGGAAGCCGAGCAGGUGCCAGCUGCUCAAACUGCCCUUCUCCACGUCACAGACCCCUGGGAACUACACCACCUGUAAGUGGCCCCUGGUGGCCACGCGGGCCCUGGCACCUCCCCACAGGACGGCACAGCCUGGAGUCUGCCUGGGUCCCCCAUGCCAUCCACUCAGCUCUCACUGUCCCCUGGGAACCUGACUCCUGCCCUGGGGAGGGAGCGUUCCACCUUCAGUGCCCAGUCCCCAGCCAUCCCAGAUGGUCCCAAAUGCUGGUCACAUGCUCUGAGACUCUCCCCGUCCAAGGGCUAACUUCCCUGAAUCUCCCAGAUCCUGGAUGCCUCCUGACGGCUGAGCUCCCUCCACACCUCCUCCAGGCAUCGAGAAGGUGGGGCUGUGGCCUCCCUUGAGGUCCCAAACCCCACAGUCCAAGCCCUCCGUGACCAGUUUCCUUCCAGGGUGGAAACAUCUGAUCUUCAUCUGGCUGCUCACGCCCAGGAGCUACGGGGUCGCCUACUUUGAAGACAAGAUGAAUAACCAGGAAAUAAACAUGAUGAUGCUCUUCAGUACGCACCCUGGGCAGGGCCAGCGGGAGCGUGCAGUGUUCAUGCACCGUGUGUGCCUGCCUGUGUGCACCUGCAGGGCACAUGCCUGUAGGCAUGUAGAAGUCACAUGUGUGUGCACAUGUGUGAGCCUGUGUGUAAAUGUACAUGUAUGAGUGUGUGCAGGGUGAACCUGCAUUGUCCACUGCUCACGGUCACUUCCACACUGACCCGGCGCCAUCUGUCUGACAUUGCGUCCUCCUUCAGCCUUCCCCUCCUCAACCCUGGCCCACCCUACACAAGUGGCAAUCUCAUGUGGCUGUCCUUGGGACUCUGCCCCUGCACUCUGCUCCCUGCUGGCCCUGGGCAGGGGAAGACCCCGUGUGGGAGGACGGGGUACCCAGGUGUGAGACAGGGAGAAGCCAGAGCGGCGGGAGGGCUGCUUCCACUUUCAGAUGCCGACUGAAGGUGGGGCAGAUAGCGAGGCCCCUGCGCCCUCCAGGUGCCCGGAGCCGUCAGAGUCCACAUGCAGGAGGGGUGCCCCCGGCCCCUGCCCCACCCCCUGUGGACGCCCCACCUUCCACGCCCACCCUCACCCCGCCUCCCUGCAGGCCGCACCCUGGAUGAAGACCCGGGGGCCCUGAGCCUGUUCCAGGAGUUUGUGAAGAGGAAAGGCCUGAACGAGACAGAGAUCACCGCCCCUCCGCAGGCUGGUAACCAGGGCUCUCCCUCUGGCUCCUCCCUUCACCGCGGUCUCCACUCUCCUGGGAGGGGCCUUUGGGUCUCCUUCCUCCUGUGAGGUGGUGACCACCCGUCCCUGUCCCUUGUCUCUCUCUGGGUCUGCAGAAGCCUGUGAGUUGCCCAGAGAGUCCUAGAGCAGCAGGGGGCUGAGAGCACCCAGGAGGGGCCUGGGGAGCCGGGCAGAACUCCCAAGGUGGAAGACCUGCUCAGCCAGGGCCCUGCACCUGCCCUGAGGUCACCCUCACUGUCUUAAUCAGUAAAAGCGAUUCUUCCCAGGCGAGAGGUGGUCUGGCUGAGCCAGCCUCAUUUCUAUCCAAGCCUCCCUGCCCAGUGAGACUCCCCCGGCCUGUCUCUGCCCUCUCUGGAUGUGUGCAGAGUCAGGUCCAGCGCAGACUGCCCCUGGUGGGCACUGAGACUGCCCCUGGCGGGCACUGUCCCCUGGGAAUCUGGCUCUAUGCAGGGGUCUGCCCAAGCAGAGCUGGCCUGGAGGUCAGGAGCCCCACACUGGCCGAGGCACAUCCCGUCCCCUCUCAGACCACUGGCCUCCCCCUGGCCGGUCAUUCCUCUACCAUCUCAUGUGUUCACCACACAGGACUCCACCCAAACACCAUUGCAAUGGCUUUGCCUUCUCUUGACUCUUCUGUAUGAGGCUCGAGGUUUCUGGAUUAUCCCAAGGUCUUUUUCCUUACUGGUUUUCUUCUUAUUUGUAGUAGCUCAUAAUUGAAUUUGUCUCUGCAGUUACAGACCCAUAGGUAUGAAUUACACAUUGAUCUGCUCUUUGUUACC